rnacentral:rRNA from 1 species
UACGUAGGGUGCAAGCGUUGUCCGGAAUUAUUGGGCGUAAAGAGCUCGUAGGCGGUUUGUUGCGUCGGCUGUGAAAAUCCCGAGGCUCAACCUCGGGUCUGCAGUCGAUACGAGCAAACUAGAGUGUUGCAGGGGAGACUGGAAUUCCUGGUGUAGCGGUGAAAUGCGCAGAUAUCAGGAGGAACACCGAUGGCGAAGGCAGGUCUCUGGGCAUUAACUGACGCUGAGGAGCGAAAGCAUGGGGGAGCGAACAGG